rnacentral:misc_RNA from 1 species
UCAAACUUGGUCAUUUAGAGGAAGUAAAAGUCGUAACAAGGUUUCCGUAGGUGAACCUGCGGAAGGAUCAUUAUUGAAUGUAGUAUGUCUUGGUAGGUUGUAGCUGGCCUUUCAAGGCAUGUGCACACCUGUCUUGACUUUAUUCAUCCACCUGUGCACCAAUUGUAGUCUUUUCGCUUACCUUGAGUUAAGAAAUGCAGGCUCUAGUCAGUUGUGAUAUACUGGAUUUGAAAAUUGCUCCUUGGCUGUUUUCUUUGCCUUGUCAAAGUAUUAUUCACUUAAGCAAAAAGGGGAAAGGCUAUGUCCUCUAUCAUAUACCAUUUUGUAUGUUGUCAGAAUGUGUUCAAUGGACAUUAAUGCCCAUAACAACCUUAUACAACUUUCAGCAACGGAUCUCUUGGCUCUCGCAUCGAUGAAGAACGCAGC